rnacentral:rRNA from 1 species
CUACGGGUGGCACCAGUGGGGAAUAUUGCACAAUGGACGCAAGCCUGAUGCAGCCAUGCCGCGUGUAUGAAGAAGGCCUUCGGGUUGUAAAGUACUUUCAGCGGGGAGGAAGGGAGUAAAGUUAAUACCUUUGCUCAUUGACGUUACCCGCAGAAGAAGCACCGGCUAACUCUGUGCCAGCAGCCGCGGUAAUACGGAGGGUGCAAGCGUUAAUCGGAAUUACUGGGCGUAAAGCGCACGCAGGCGGUUUGUUAAGUCAGAUGUGAAAUCCCCGGGCUCAACCUGGGAACGGCAUCUGAUACUGGCAAGCUUGAGUCUCGUAGAGGGGGGUAGAAUUCCAGGUGUAGCGGUGAAAUGCGUAGAGAUCUGGAGGAAUACCGGUGGCGAAGGCGGCCCCCUGGACGAAGACUGACGCUCAGGUGCGAAAGCGUGGGGAGCAAACAGGAUUAGAUACCCGCGUAGUC